CGGAUUCAUAAGCGCCUGAGACACUGAGUAUUUCCUUAGGGCGCCAAAAGCAGAGAGCAAGUGCCCCGCAGGCUGUAAAAGUCUUGGAAAUUGGGGGCCGCACCAGUUUUAUGCCCAUGAAAGCGGGGCCUGGUUCCACGUGGGCAGUACUUGCCCGCUUAAACACAGAGGAAUCGGCGGCCAGAGAGCGAGGCCUCAGAGCUCCCGUAGCUUUUAGAAAGACUACACUUACGUUAAUUUUGUGUCCAGCAAUAUCCCAGGACAUUUAUAAUCCCAAAAUGCAGGUGGGGAGGGAGAUCCAGAGAACUCACUGGCCUGAGGCUACAAUGGAAGAUACACUUUCUGCCGCAUUCAUCCACAUGAUGCCACUGCUAGGAGAGGGAGCUAUCCUGAGACAGCUCAAGACCCCUGAGCAGUUCUGGAGGCUGAGAACUGCCAAGGACAUGGUGCCAGCCCAUCAGGUGUCUGGCCCACCUGGACCCACUGGGAACUCCAUGCCCACCGAUUUCAAACUGUACAAAAUAGAGGGUGAGACAACUCAUAAACAGCCUCGAGCAGGAACCUCAGACUGCUGAGCGGAAGAAAGUGGAGAACAGCUACACCUGGAAGUUUGAGGACCUGGGCCAUCAUUAGCUCAUGAUGUCUUGGCUGCUUGAGGAGGACAGUCUGUACCGGCCUCUUGUCCCCUGAGGAAGCUACAGGCUGGAAGAAGUUACAUUCCCGGUUUAUUUGAAAUCUGAAACUUCAGCUACUCUAAAUUCUGCCUGAGGCCUGUGGAAGAAAAUUGUGAAUGUCAGCUCUUGAGAGAAGCCUCCUUUGACCAAUAUAAUCAAAAUACCCCGUUCCCGCCCAGCAGUUCCCAUCUUUCCUAUUUUAUUUGCUCUCUUGCCCAGGAUGAUGCCUCAGAGCAUGUCAGAGGCUUCUGUAGCUGUAAAGAAGAGCUAAGCUCAAGUACUGUCUCAUAGACCAGACUCCUCCAUGUGUGGCUUCUGAAACAAUCCACUAGCUAAUGGAGAGGACUAAUGGAGAGAGCCAGCAAAGAGCACUAUGGGCUUCUAAGAGUGGCCCUGGAACUCCUGGCCCACAGGUUGCACCUCCUCAUUCCAUCUUAGCUGCGAGUUAAAUACUAUCUGGCUUUUGUGACACUUUAGGCUAAUGUGCUUGAAGCAUCUCAUCCACCCCUCCUCAGUCCCCAAGAAUCUGAAUAGGCAUUGCCACGGUUCAGUAAUCAAA
rnacentral:lncRNA from 1 species